GAAUUUGGGGCUCACAAUCUACUACAGGGGUGUGCAUUGGUGCUGAAGCGGCGAGUCAUUCUGAUUGGAGUUUUGCAGCGAUUGGGUUUUAAUGUUGGCAGCUGGUGCUAACGUGAGCAAACUGGUUGCAAAAUCUACUUCUUUUCACCCUCGUCCAAGUGCAAAAAGGAGGUGCGGCAGAAUCUAGAGGUGUAGUGGCUACGACAACAAAGUUCAAGGUGUUUGAGUUGUUCGCGUGUAAGAAGAAAGCAGCGACGGCCACCCUUCCUUUGGCUGGUGUUCCUCAAGUCAUCACCAUGUGGUGCUAAGUUUUACGACGUCAACGGUUGUCUAAAGUUGAUGUUGGCGGCAGUGACACUUAACUUUGAGUUGGGUACUCUUCUUCUUCCCUUGUUCUUGAUCCGGUGCUUGUCUGUGAAUUUCCUGUGUGGUUGGACAUCGACGGCAACGACUUUGGGAGCGGCUAAUAAGCAAAUUCUUGCCAAGGGAUCCGACUCUCGUGUUUCAUUGAUUUUUUAUUUCUUCUUCCUUUUGUUACUUCCCAUGAUCCAAAUCAUAUGCGAUCCAUCUUCAAAGUGGCGCAAGUGCUCAAAUUGUGGUUGUCUAGAUCGGGAGCGAUGAGGCUAUCGUGAUACUACAUGUUCCCAAUUAAAUUGUGCAUCAGCGAAAUUAGUCUUGGAAGGUCCAGUGGCAUUGUGGUGAUUGUUGGGACACUAAUCUACCUCAAGCGCUCUCUCCAAUGAGGAUAUAGAGUGGCAAAUGGUCGAAGUUGCAUUGCAGCGGUUCCAGCACUGGCUGCGACCAAUUCAGUAUUAACACCCAGCAUCAAUCCUUCCAUGUACCUUCUUGAUUGUGGCAUUUCGAGCGGUGCUUUUGAGAGGAUCGCGGUGUAGUGCGGCAAUUGAUUUUUACGCAAUCUGCUAGUGGCAAUAAAGGCAUUAUUUGUAGGGAUGUUCUAGCAUUGCUCCUGAGAACUACAAUUAGAUGGUGUUGUAGCCAUGGACUGACGGCCAUUUAGGGUCAAUCACGUACUAGCAUUCAGACUUGAUCAAAAUUACAAGGUCACACAAGUAGUUGUUAGACCUAUUGAAGAUACAAGAGACCCAACUCAUUGCAAACACGACUGCCAAGGAGGUGGCUGAUCUGGAGUUUGACAACCUAGGAGUUCCAUUGCAACAAGGGAGCCACACCUGAAGAUUGAAGCCUUAGGCAUUGGCCGUCCUGCAGUGCUAACAACAAGGUGAAUGAAAUCUUGACAGAUGAAGUUAAGGCAGAAGAAAUUAAGGUUAGGAACCGGAUGAAUUAGGAUGAUGAGUAAUGGAUAAAUGUUGAUUGGAAUUGAAUGAAUUCUCAUUAGUA